GUGGAACUCAUCCAUCUCCUGCAGAGAUUCUGGUGGCACUAUGAUCUGUUCAUCCAGCAUUUCAUGAAGCUUCGGCCCCACCGGACCACAUAAGAGGACCUGAGAGAAAACAGCACACUUCAGUAAACUAUAAUCAGCUAGAGCGAACCAAAGGAACCAAUCAGAGGCUCCGCCGAGCAUCAGUGACGUAACCGGAACAUUACGUUUAGUGGAUACACUGACGCAAGGGUUGGAUCUGUCGUAGGAUGCCUUUGAUACUGGUCUGAAAAAUGCGGGGGAACGAGUGAGAAUUGCCUCACAAUUUAACUUACGGCAGAUUAAAG